CGGCGAGUGAAGCGGCAACAGCUCAAAUUUGAAAUCUGGCUCUCGGGCCCGAGUUGUAAUUUGUAGAGGAUGCUUUUGGUGAGGUGCCUUCCGAGUUCCCUGGAACGGGACGCCAUAGAGGGUGAGAGCCCCGUCUGGUUGGACACCGAUCCUCUGUAAAGCUCCUUCGACGAGUCGAGUAGUUUGGGAAUGCUGCUCUAAAUGGGAGGUAUAUGUCUUCUAAAGCUAAAUACCGGCCAGAGACCGAUAGCGCACAAGUAGAGUGAUCGAAAGAUGAAAAGAACUUUGAAAAGAGAGUUAAAAAGUACGUGAAAUUGUUGAAAGGGAAGCGCUUGUGACCAGACUUGGGCUUGGUUGAUCAUCCGGGGUUCUCCCCGGUGCACUCUUCCGGCUCAGGCCAGCAUCAGUUCGCCCUGGGGGAUAAAGGCUUCGGGAAUGUGGCUCUCUCCGGGGAGUGUUAUAGCCCGCUGCGUAAUACCCUGUGGCGGACUGAGGUUCGCGCAUUCGCAAGGAUGCUGGCGUAAUGGUCAUCAGUGACCCGUCUUGAAACACGGACCAAGGAGUCGUCUUCGUAUGCGAGUGUUCGGGUGUCAAACCCCUACGCGAAAUGAAAGUGAACGCAGGUGAGAGCUUCGGCGCAUCAUCGACCGAUCCUGAUGUUAUCGGAUGGAUUUGAGUAAGAGCAUACGGGGCCGGACCCGAAAGAAGGUGAACUAUGCCUGUGUAGGGUGAAGCCAGAGGAAACUCUGGUGGAGGCUCGCAGCGGUUCUGACGUGCAAAUCGAUCGUCAAACAUGGGCAUGGGGGCGAAAGACUAAUCGAACCUUCUAGUAGCUGGUUUCCGCCGAAGUUUCCCUCAGGAUAGCAGUGUUGAACUCAGUUUUAUGAGGUAAAGCGAAUGAUUAGGGACUCGGGGGCGCUAUUUAGCCUUCAUCCAUUCUCAAACUUUAAAUAUGUAAGAAGCCCUUGUUGCUUAAUUGAACGUG
rnacentral:rRNA from 1 species